rnacentral:rRNA from 1 species
UCUUGCGCAAUGGCCGAAAGGCUGACGCAGCGACGCCGCGUGCGGGAGGACGCUUUUCGGAGCGUAAACCGCUGUCGGGUGGGACGAAGGUCCGGGGGAGGAAAUGCUCUCGGGAUGACGGUACCAUAUGUAAGCCCCGGCUAACUCCGUGCCAGCAGCCGCGAUAAUACGGGGGGGCAAGCGUUGUUCGGAAUUACUGGGCGUAAAGCGCGUGUAGGCGGCUCUUCAAGUCAGACGUGAAAGCCUCAGGCUCAACCUGAGAACGGCGUUUGAUACUGUCGAGCUAGAGUGUGGAAGAGGCUAUUGGAAUUCCGUGUGUAGCGGUGAAAUGCGUAGAUAUACGGAGGAACACCAGCGGCGAAGGCGGAUAGCUGGACCAACACUGACGCUGAGACGCGAAAGCUAGGGGAGCAAAC